UAGGGAAUCUUCCACAAUGGGCGAAAGCCUGAUGGAGCAACGCCGCGUGUGUGAUGAAGGGUUUCGGCUCGUAAAACACUGUUGUAAGAGAAGAACAUAUCUGAGAGUAACUGUUCAGGUAUUGACGGUAUUUAACCAGAAAGCCACGGCUAACUACGUGCCCG
rnacentral:rRNA from 1 species